GGUUAAGCGACUAAGCGUACACGGUGGAUGCCCUGGCAGUCAGAGGCGAUGAAGGGCGUGCUAAUCUGCGAUAAGCGCCGGUAAGGUGAUAUGAACCGUUAUAACCGGCGAUACCCGAAUGGGGAAACCCAGUGUGACUCGUCACACUAUCAUUAACUGAAUCCAUAGGUUAAUGAGGCGAACCGGGGGAACUGAAACAUCUAAGUACCCCGAGGAAAAGAAAUCAACCGAGAUUCCCCCAGUAGCGGCGAGCGAACGGGGAGGAGCCCAGAGCCUGAAUCAGCAUGUGUGUUAGUGGAAGCGUCUGGAAAGGCGCGCGAUACAGGGUGACAGCCCCGUACACAAAAGCGCAUGUGCUGUGAGCUCGAUGAGUAGGGCGGGACACGUGGUAUCCUGUCUGAAUAUGGGGGGACCAUCCUCCAAGGCUAAAUACUCCUGACUGACCGAUAGUGAACCAGUACCGUGAGGGAAAGGCGAAAAGAACCCCGGCGAGGGGAGUGAAAAAGAACCUGAAACCGUGUACGUACAAGCAGUGGGAGCACCCUUCGGGGUGUGACUGCGUACCUUUUGUAUAAUGGGUCAGCGACUUAUAUUCUGUAGCAAGGUUAACCGAAUAGGGGAGCCGGAGGGAAACCGAGUCUUAAUUGGGCGUUAAGUUGCAGGGUAUAGACCCGAAACCCGGUGAUCUAGCCAUGGGC
rnacentral:rRNA from 1 species